rnacentral:rRNA from 1 species
UACGUAGGGCGCAAGCGUUAUCCGGAAUUAUUGGGCGUAAAGAGCUCGUAGGCGGUUUGUCGCGUCUGCCGUGAAAGUCCGGGGCUCAACUCCGGAUCUGCGGUGGGUACGGGCAGACUAGAGUGAUGUAGGGGAGACUGGAAUCCGUGGUAGCGGUGAAAUGCGCAGAUAUCAGGAGGAACACCGAUGGCGAAGGCAGGUCUCUGGGCAUUAACUGACGCUGAGGAGCGAAAGCAUGGGGAGCGAACAGG